rnacentral:rRNA from 1 species
UACGAAGGGGGGCUAGCGUUGCUCGGAAUUACUGGGCGUAAAGGGCGCGUAGGCGGCACUGUUAGUCAGGCGUGAAAUUCCUGGGCUCAACCUGGGGACUGCGCUUGAUACGGCAGAGCUUGAGGAUGGAAGAGGGUCGCGGAAUUCCCAGUGUAGAGGUGAAAUUCGUAGAUAUCAGGAGAAACACCUAUUGCGAAGGCAGCUCGCUGGGACGUAACUGACGCUGAGACGCGAAAGCGUGGGGAGCAAACAGG